rnacentral:sRNA from 1 species
AGAAGACUGAGCUCAGAGCAUAGAAAUAGCUUGCCCAAGGCCAUGACUAAGUCAGGAUAAGGAGCUGGAGCUUGUUUCCUCACUCAGUGGUCCUGACUUUGCACCACUCUGCAUUUGCCUAGCCUGCCUUCCUCUAACUGUGCUCUCCCUACUUCCAGGCCUCACCUGCAGAUGCCCCCCAGCCUGGGCCAGAUGAGCCUGCCCUUUGACCAGCCUCACCCCCAGGGCCUGCUGCCGUGCCAGCCUCAGGAGCAUGCUGUGUCCAGCCCUGACCCCCUGCUCUGCUCAGAUGUGACCAUGGUGGAAGACAGCUGCCUGAGCCAGCCAGUGACAGCGUUUCCUCAGGGCACUUGGAUUGGUGAAGACAUAUUCCCUCCUCUGCUGCCUCCCACUGAACAGGACCUCACUAAGCUUCUCCUGGAGGGGCAAGGGGAGUCGGGGGUAGGGUCCUUGGGGGCACAGCCCCUCCUGCAGCCCUCCCACUAUGGGCAAUCUGGGAUCUCAAUGUCCCACAUGGACCUAAGGGCCAACCCCAGUUGGUAAUCCCAGCUGGAGGGAGAACCCAAAGAGACAGCUCUUCUACUACCCCCACAGACCUGCUCUGGACACUUGCUCAUGCCCUGCCAAGCAGCAGAUGGGGAGGGUGCCCUCCUAUCCCCACCUACUCCUGGGUCAGGAGGAAAAGACUAACAGGAGAAUGCACAGUGGGUGGAGCCAAUCCACUCCUUCCUUUCUAUCAUUCCCCUGCCCACCUCCUUCCAGCACUGACUGGAAGGGAAGUUCAGGCUCUGAGACACACCCCAACAUGCCUGCACCUGCAGCGCGCACACGCACGCACACACACAUACAGAGCUCUCUGAGGGUGAUGGGGC